GGAGGAGGACGUGCGCGGUGCCGGUCUGCAGCCGUGAUGGAGGGGCCAGCAACCAUCAGGUGACUGUAGAGGACCACGGCCACAUUUGGGUGCACUGCAUCACAGGACCCUCAUGUGAGACGUUGAAGUUGAGCGAGAUGAUGCUCAGUUUGGAGCCGGGACUCUGCGUUCGCUACGUCGAUGAUUCAACCUGAUGCAGCGCUACGCCCUCCUCUUCUCGCCGCGCUGCGACCCUCUCUGGCUGCAGCUCAACCCCCUCGAGGCCGUCAGUCUGAUCAUCGGCCCGCUGGACGUUCCGAGCAGCGAGUGGAAGGUCGGCAAGACGAAGCUGUUCCUGCGGAGGAGUGGCACCGCAGACGUUGGCCAUGCGCUCGUGGAAGCGCUACAAGGCCAUCAAAGAGUUCGCGAGGGUGCGGUGGGUGGCGCUGACCAUCCAGCACGGCAUCCUCUUCCUCAGACAGCGCCGCGCCGCCGUCGUCAUCCAGUCGCACUUCCGCGCGGCGUCUUCGCCAGAGAGGUGGCCAGAGCCCUCAAGAGAAUGCGGAGCGUCGAGCAUUUCCUACUGUCAACAUUUUACAUUUUAUGUUGA